CCGUCCCGCUCGCCGUGGCCUUCGCCGAUGACCGCGGCCCCGCGCAGCACAACACCGAGCUCGUCUCGCUCCGUUGCGUCCUCUCCUCCUGCCGGAUUCGCCACUCACGGCCACCACCGCUCACCCGUGACCCCGCCUCGUGGUUAGGGUUUCGGGUGUUGGCUCCAACACCGGCGGCCAUGGGGUUGCGCCUCCUCUCUGCCUCUGCAGAGGAGAGGAGAGGGGAUUGAGCCUGCAGCUCCGCAUGUGCUUCAAUUCAAUUUGGAGUAGAGCAAUUGAUGUGCUCCUACAGCUGCUGUAGAAGAUAGGAUGGAUGAGAGUGCAUCAUUGUAGGAUUAUUGUUGAUGGGGUGUCGAGACGUGUGUCUGAACUACCUCAUGUGACUGAUGAAAGAGGGCAGGUGGCCGACCUCCUUGAUAUCCAUGCCAGUUUUUUGGUGCGUUUGUGCUCGUCGGCGGGACGGUGCAAGGCGCAACUCCGACGCGGUUCCUUGCCGGUUGGACGGCGUUCACGCGCAACCCCGGCGUGCACUGAGUACUGCCUCGGCUACAACCUCCCUCGGUGAGCUCCAUCUUCCUCCUGCUCCUCUGCUUCGGCUACUGUAUGGGACAUGGCCAUGGCUAUAUUGAUCCAUCCAU